rnacentral:lncRNA from 10 species
UGGUAUUUCUGGAAGUAAAUCUCUCCUCUACAUCUCCUCCAUCACACCUCAUCAGGGCCAGCAUCACCCAUCAGCUGUGUGUGUGUCUGUACGGACUCCCCACCGGCCCCACGUCUGCUGCCGUCAGACCCUCCUCCAGCCCCAGGAGUUACAUCCCCAAAUGGAGACCUCACUACCCACAAACAACAUGUGCUUCUCAAACUUUCUGUGAUGAAGAACCAGCUUUUUAAAAUGUCCAAUCCACUGUGGACUGAUAUUUUCAUAAAAUACAGGCAAAAAUGCCCUGGCCGCAUCAAGGGACAGCAAAGUAUCUACAUGCUUGCUCUCAGUUUCUGCCCAGACUCAAGGGGUAGUUCCAACAGCCAUGGCCCUGCAGUGCUUGUGUGGUGUGUUCUUGACCCGGAUAAGCUGCAGUGGGGCUCGUGGCUGGCGGACCAUCCUCCCUACUCCCCGCCCAGCCGCUGAAGGCCACAGGGUCACUGCUCAGAAGUGGAUGUGGCUGUCCAGUCUUCACCGACCCUUCCCGCUGGUGGAUGCCUGGACACCCUUAAGCUUCCCGACACUUGGGUCAUUUUGUGGUGAUGUCAUUGGCCACAACAUGUGAAAUCGAGCAGGUGGCACCAACUCUGACCACGCAUCGGCCAACGUCAGCGAGGAAGCAUGGCUUGAGCUGUAAAUGGUAGCAUUUCAGCCAUUUCUUCUUCCCAAGUUUGACUGCUUCUCACCUUUGUGAUGCACACACACAAAGGUAGAAACAUUAGAGAGAGAGAGAACAAAGGGACAGCAGGAACGCCCUCCAGGACUCUGGGCGUGUCCCUGAGGAAAGACCUCUGCAAGCAGCCAGUUUCACCAUUUGGGUUUCCGUCUGAGGGGAUGUUUACAAACACUGAGCAUCCCCAGUCCUUGAAUUGAACUCGGCACCAGAGAGGCUUGCGGUGGGAGAUGGAAGCCAAGACAGCCCCUGGGUCCUGAGCAAUCCCCCGACCCCCAGCCCCAGACUUUAUGGCACUACUGGCUAACAAGAUAGACACUAUGAGUGAAAUUGAGGUGGAAAAAAAAAUAAGAGGAAAAGAAAUCAAGAUGAAGCCAAGAAUCAAAAGAGAACCACAAAUGCACACCAAGUGAUCCUGUAUAGCUGCUAGGGGUGAGUUGCAAAUUAGGCUCUGAGCUUCCUAGCAGUCAUAGCAAAGCAGAAACCAGCCUGACCUUAAGAUAACAACAGAUAUUUUUGCCCCACUUCCCUAGAAGCCUUCACAGAGGGAAAAACCUGGGUGCUGUGGGUUCUGCCUUGGGAGCAUCAUCCCUCCUAGACAAUCCCAGAGGCCCACCACAAGCAGGAGCUGUCACUUCUGUGAUGCGGAGGCCUGGCAUAUGGGGGGUCAGAGCCGUCAUGGGUGAGUUGCUUGGUUGGUGAGUGGCCGAGCAGGCUCCCAACACCCGCUGGUCACUGUCACUGCCCAGUGGUUUUCUGCACCUCUGUCUUCACAAGCAGCUCUGUGGACUGGAUAGGAAAUGCACCUCUGACUGGUGCAGCUUUCUGAGGUCGGGAACAGCCUGCCCCAGAGGGAGGCAGGAGGGGGACGGUCUCCAGGAGGCUGCUCUGGGGGCCCGGAUUUUCCUUUUGUUUGGUGGCCAUCAGGUCCCUGGGGCUCCGCUCCCCUUCACCUCCAGCUUCAGUCCCUUCCUCGGGCACCAACUGGCCUCCCCGACGCGCCCUGCCUUAGAGCCUUGUUCUAGUCCGUGGGGGUUGCCGGCCAGUGACCGCCGCCUCCCACUCUCAGUGUGGCCUCGGAGCCUGAGUUUCCCAGGGCUCUUCUGUCUCACGUGGAGACUGCCCUCCUUGCACCCACAGCUGUUCAACCAUGAUGCGGUGCUUCCAAGCUGAUCACUUCCACUCUCGUUUCUAGAAAUUCCUCAUUGUCCUUGAGAUGGGGAGAGCCUGAUCUGUUUUUCCAGCACAGUCAGGGACUAGUUCUUAUGUUUCUUCUUCUUCUUCUUCUGUCAUUUCACUGGGGCUCAGGGAGGAAGGACAUAAACUUGGCUAACAUUUUGAAGGGAUGUCCCUGUUUUUGCCCUUGAGGGCUCAAAGGAUGCUCUCUUCCUGAGUUUCCCCCACAGCAGGGCCUUCACACUGAGGCUGUACAGUGAAAAUACAAGACUCCUAACUCUUUAAGCAAGCAAGAAAAAAACCCAAACUUCCCACCCUAUUAAGGUGUUCCAAUCUUAUCUCACGAAUGGGAGAUUUUUUUGAGGCAGAAGGACCAGAGAAAGUGUCUGGUCCAAGCCUAGAACAUUUUAGGAAGGAAGAUGGAGGGCAUGGCAAUUUCUACACUUAGAAAAGUAUUAGAGAUCAUUAAGGAGGUGCACCAUGCUUCACAAGGAUAUUGAUGGACUCUGUGUUUCUAAUAGUUAAAGAAUGGAGGCAGGUUAAAUGCCCUCCAAAAAGGUCAGUUUAUACAGUAAGAAUGGCUCAACUAGGCAGGACUGAAAGGUUAGUGAUUUGUGUAUUGACUACGUCUGAAAGCUUAAUCAACAAAAUGUUACCAGCACUUAGCUCUGUGUGGUGAGAUGAAAAUUAUACUUAAAUUUUUUUUUGCUUAUUUAAAAUUGUGCUCCUUAAGUUUUCAACAAAAAAUGCAUAUUGUUUUUUAAUAAGAAAAAAGGUUACGAAUUUAAAUAUAACAACCGGUGUUAAGACAAGGUGAUGGCGGGGCCGAGGCUAGACCAACUGCAUGUGCAAAAUCCACAGCAGCGCAUGACUGGGGCUGAUCAUCUGUGUCUCCAAGUGGCUUUGCGGGGAACCCUCAGGGACUUUCCCAGAAAGUUUCCCACCAGGUGAUGGUGCUUUCGAGUGCUGGGUGCUCAGCAACUGCUGUGAAGGCACAGAGGCAGUGCCUGCCUGCAGGAUGCUUCCAGUCCAGUGAGGGACAGACAGGAGGGCCCAACCUGGAGCAAAGUUUAGGGUGGCCACCCUGUAGGAGACAGGCAGGCAGGGGCCACGGGCACUCCCAGGUGGAGACCAGUUGCCUGGAAAGGUCAGGGCCACGUUGGUCUCCAGGCCGAGCACCCAGGCUGAGCAGAAGGUGCUCUGGCCGGGUUUACCACCUCACUUACCAACAGGCCCCCACCCCUCCCUGCCCCCACAUGGGUGUCUGCCCAGGUGCAGUGUGCACAGGAAGGGGACAGGGCUCAUUGAGAGUAUGUGCAGGGGAAUGUAGCAGGGCACAGUGCCCAUGGUCCCUGGAGCCCCCUUGCUAGGUGUGUGCAGAGCCACCCUCAGCUCCUUGGGACCCUCUGCUCAUGAGGCCUCCUUCCCCAAGAGGGAACCCCCAGAUGCGGCUUGACAGGGGGCUGGGAAAGCACAGCCCAUGGUGGAAAGGGGAAGAUCUGACCCA